UACGUAGGUGACCAGCGUUGUCCGGAUUUACUGGGCGUAAAGAGCGCGCAGGCGGUCGUUCAAGUCGAGUGUGAAAGCCCCCGGCUCAACUGGGGAGGGUCAUUCGAUACUGAUCGACUUGAAGGCAGGAGAGGGAAGUGGAAUUCCCGGUGUAGUGGUGAAAUGCGUAGAUAUCGGGAGGAACACCAGUGGCGAAGGCGACUUCCUGGCCUGUUCUUGACGCUGAGGCGCGAAAGCGUGGGGAGCGAACAGG
rnacentral:rRNA from 1 species